rnacentral:lncRNA from 1 species
CUUAGUGCCAAUCCAUGGAAAUCACUUUCGUGCUGGCACUGCCCAGAGAGUGAUAGAUUUCAUUCAGGUGCCUGGGCCAACAGAGGGUCCAGUAAGGCAGGACAGAAACUGCUUUACUCGGAGUGUUCAUUCUGGGGUCUGAUGGAAUAUUAAUGCUGAGAGGAGGCUGAGAAACGUAGACUGUGGAGGAAAAUGGGAGGAAACCUCUUCACACUGAGAAGGGGAGAUGGUGAAACCAAGUCAGCUGGAAAUGGAGAGGGGGCCUUUUGAUGUUUUCCUGUUUUCUACAGGAAGGGAAAUCAAUAGAUGCCUUUAAAUGCUCCUCUGGGUGAAGAAUGGAUACUUAUCUCAUUUCUCCCUCUCACUACUCUUCCAUCACUUUCCCAGACACCAUGUUACUAGUUUAGGGUCCUGGGAGGAGCAGAGGAAGAUGGAAAUGCCACACACAUCUGGACUACAACCCCCUGCUGCUUUGCAAUGAAGACAAUUUUCUAAUUGGAAUCAACAGACACCCAGUGUCUGCAGUCUCUGUUGGAAAUAGCAGACCUCUAGUUUGAGUGAGAAUGUGUCUAAAGUGUCGAG